UUUUUUUUUAUUUUAUGUAAAAUAAAAUAUUGAAAUGAUGUGCAUUACAACAUCAUGGAUUUGCCAGGAAGCCAUGAAAUGUUUUAUUGACAUAAACAAAGCCAAAUUUUUUGAUACAGGUAUUCAUCAGGUAGAGCGCUGUCUGUCUAAAAUUGCCCAGAGCCUGAAGAGCAAUUCCACUGAAACAUAAAGAAAAUAUUUUUUUAAUCAUAAUUAUGAAGCCACUCCUCAUAAGAUGACCACACUUUAAAGUAAGUUCCAAGUUAGAAAAAGCAAACCAGGAUGCUAUAUCAGUUGAGCUUUUAUUUACUUAGUUUAGAGUGAAAAUUAAGUCCUUCACAAAAUUGUUCCUUUAAAGUGUAUUUGACAGUAAGAGAUAAUGGCUCUUGUGGUUUAUUUUAUAAAUCCAUGUUUGUGACAAAGACUUGCCAUAACUGAUAAUAAGGAACAUCAAUAGGACUUAAAAAUAAAUUUGACCCUGUUGUACAGAGUAGCAUACUCCAUGUGGGAGAAAAAGUCAUCUAUUUUUAGUUAAGCUAUACUCCUAAGAAAUGCACCUUUCCUCCCACACUAAGGACUUAUUCUACUUUCACACCUCAGUGGACUGUUAGUAAAACAUUUCAAGCAGAAAAUCCAGGAAGAUUCAGUCAAGUGUACUGCAGACUUGAAAGUCACUCACCAAAAUUUGCAAAUAUUCUCUAUAAGUUAGCCAAGUCCAAUUCCUCCCUGAUUAGUACAAAUACUUCUGCUCUUCCUGCUCAUUCUUUGGUCAAGUCCCCCAUGUGAAGUAUAAAUCCCUUUUUUGUUUGUUUGUUUGUUUUUGUCCUGUUUAUGAUAUGAUAUGAAAAAGUCAUUGAAAACCUGCUUAUUUAGCAAAUUAACUUUCCAACAGUGUUCCAUAGAUAAUAUGUUGCUCAAGCUAAGCUUUAAAAAAUCAUGUUAUAUCUGAUGAAGUUUUCCGCUAUUAGGAACGAUGUUCUACUCACAGAAUAAAUUAGGCAGUUAGAUACACCACUGAAGAAAAAAAAAAAGCAAUAAAAUGGUAAACACUUUUCAUCGUGCAGCCUCUUUCUCAGUUCUAUUAGAAUGCUUGAAAUAUGCUUGUAAUGUGCAUAAUAAUUAUCUGAAAUGAAAAUCUGUCACGAUUGUAGUGAGUAGAUUUUUUAAAAUCAUUUCAUUGAAAGUAAUUAAGCCAACCUCAAGCAUAAGUUAACAGGAAUACAGCUCUGUUAAAACCUCAGAUUUCCUUAGCUCUUUCUUUGAAGAGAAACAACUCUAUGCUUUGGAAAAUGUGUUUUGAAACCAGUACAAGCACAAUCCCAGAGAGAAAGUGAGAAGAUAAUCAGAAAUGAUUUGGUCAAUUUGCACUUCUAGGAAAAACAUCCAUAUGCAAAAAUUCAGUGCUUGGAAAUGUGUCCUUGCUAAAGUUUUCUGCAGAUCUACUCAAAGUCAUCACUCAACAUUUCUUCAUAGGAGAGGUGUUCCAGCCCUCUGAUCAUCAUGGCUCUCCUCUGGACCUGCUCCAACAGCUGCACAUCCUUCAUUUGCUAGGAGCCCCAGACUUGGAUGCAGUACUCCAUUUGAGGCCUAAGGAGGACUGUGUAGAGGUGGACAAUUAUCCCCCUUGCUCUGCUGAUCACCCCUCUUUUCAUGCAGACCAGGAUACUAUUGGCCUUCCAAGCUUCAAAAUCACACUGCUGGCUUCAGUGAUGGGUCAUGGACAUAUAGAUAAGUCAGUGCUCAUCUGAGCCUUAUAAAGAACCUAUUGCAUCUUGUUGACUCAAACUCAGAAUGGAACCUUCCUAAACUGCUGUGCAAGCAACUUGUUGACUCAUGCAACUAACCUUAACAAAUGUCUGAGAUUGAAAGAACGGAGUUCUAGUGACUCAAGUAGGAAGCUGUAACAUCUAAGGAACAUCAUUCUGCAAAGGCAGAGUGAUAGACUGUUUAUCUUCACUUCCUGUCAUGGUUCCUCACUGCUGAUAAACAUCAGUAAAUGGAGAGGGUCCACGACCAGCAAAGACCCUCAUCAAAGACAUCAAAGAAUCUUCUAGACAUGAGUGGAGUACCACCCCUAUGGGCAGUCUCUGACUAAUUAGACUAUAUAACGAUGAACAUGAAUGUUUACAUUUGUCAACCCACCACCCAUGGAUCAAGACAAUGCUGGAUCCAGGAGUGGUGAAAUAUGUCUGUUUCUAAAUCUCUCCUCCUCUGUCUCUGUUUCUCUCUCCUCUUUCUCCUCCCUUUUCUCCGCUUCCUUCUUCUACUCACUUUUCUUUAACACCGUUGCCUAAAUUAGCCUUAAAGUAGUUGCUUACUAACUGUCGUUAGAAAAUUGCCUAAUUUUGACUCAAAGUAGUUGAUGAGUUGCUGUUAGAAAACUCAGUAAACUGUCUUGUAUUGUUCCUCUACGUCAUGGUCUGACUCUGUCACUCUGCUGACUCCUGAAGUCACCUGGAGCCAGGAGAGCCCUAUUUUCAUUUGAGUGAAGGUGAAUUCCAGAGAUUCACCAUCCUCACAACCCACUGAGUGG
ensembl:lncRNA